rnacentral:tRNA from 1 species
UAGGGUAUAGCCAAGCGGUAAGGCAGCGGACUUUGACUCCGUUAUUUCGCCAGUUCAAAUCUGGCUACCCUAACCA